AAAGGGCGCGUAGGCGGCCAUUCAAGUCGGGGGUGAAAGCCUGUGGCUCAACCACAGAAUUGCCUUCGAUACUGUUUGGCUUGAGUAUGGCAGAGGUCAGUGGAACUGCGAGUGUAGAGGUGAAAUUCGUAGAUAUUCGCAAGAACACCAGUGGCGAAGGCGGCUGACUGGGCCAUUACUGACGCUGAGGCGCGAAAGCGUGGGGAGCAAACAGGAUUAGAUACCCCUGU
rnacentral:rRNA from 1 species